GCAUGCGCAGGGAGGGGAGACCUUGGCGGAGCGGCGGAGGCGCCCAGCGGAGGUGAAAGUAUUGGCGGAAAGGAAAAUACAGCGGAAAAAUGCAGAGCUGGAGUCGUGUGUACUGCUCCUUGGCCAAGAGAGGCCAUUUCAAUCGAAUAUCUCAUGGCCUACAGGGACUUUCUGCAGUGCCUCUGAGAACUUACGCAGAUCAGCCGAGUAAGUACUUAAGUAAAACAUUUUUUUCAUCACAUUAGCUGACAGUUCCUUUCUAUUUCAAUGUAAAAGCAAGUGAAUAUUGGAAUAACUUAUGUUAAGUGUCUUAUAGUUCAUUUGUUCAUGUAUUUAUUCGUUUGAAUGUAUAUUGAGCUAGUGUGUUCCAGGCGGUGAACAAGGUAAAAAAACCCUGCUCUUAUGAAACUUGUAAUUUGGUGAUAAAAGACAAACAAUAUAUAAGUAAUGGAUAAAUAUUUUGGGAAGUAACUGAAAAUUAAA
rnacentral:lncRNA from 10 species